AGGACGAACGCUGGCGGCGUGCUUAACACAUGCAAGUCGAGCGAGGCCCCUCCUUCGGGAGGGUGUCCUAGCGGCGAACGGGUGAGUAACACGUGGGCAACCUGCCCUCAGCUCUGGGAUAACCCCGGGAAACCGGGGCUAAUACCGGAUACGACCUCCAUGGGCAUCUGCGGAGGUGGAAAGGUUUUUCCGGCUGAGGAUGGGCCCGCGGCCUAUCAGCUAGUUGGUGGGGUGAUGGCCCACCAAGGCGACGACGGGUAGCCGGCCUGAGAGGGGCGACCGGGCCAACGACUGGGACUGGAGACACGGCCCAGACUCCUACGGGAGGCAGCAGUGGGGAAUAUUGCGCAAUGGGCGAAAGCCUGACGCAGCGACGCCGCGUGAGGGACGAAGGCCUUCGGGUUGUAAACCUCUUUCAGUAGGGAAGAAGCGAAAGUGACGGUACCUGCAGAAGAAGCGCCGGCUAACUACGUGCCAGCAGCCGC
rnacentral:rRNA from 1 species